rnacentral:rRNA from 1 species
CAAAGGAAGCGAUUCCGGCGGGGGAUGGGCAUGCGGCGCAUUAGCUAGUCGGCGGGGUAACGGCCCACCGAGGCGACGAUGCGUAGGGGUUCUGAGAGGAAGGUCCCCCACACUGGUACUGAGACACGGACCAGACUCCUACGGGAGGCAGCAGUGAGGAAUAUUGGUCAAUGGGCGGGAGCCUGAACCAGCCAAGUCGCGUGAGGGAAGACGGUCCUAUGGAUUGUAAACCUCUUUUGCCGGGGAGCAACGGGGUCCUUGCGAGGGCCUAAUGAGAGUACCCGGAGAAAAAGCAUCGGCUAACUCCGUGCCAGCAGCCGCGGUAAUACGGAGGAUGCGAGCGUUAUCCGGAUUUAUUGGGUUUAAAGGGUGCGUAGGCGGGCUGUUAAGUCAGCGGUCAAAUGUCGGGGCUCAACCCCGGCCUGCCGUUGAAACUGGUGGCCUCGAGUGGGCGAGAAGUAUGCGGAAUGCGUGGUGUAGCGGUGAAAUGCAUAGAUAUCACGCAGAACUCCGAUUGCGAAGGCAGCAUACCGGCGCCCGACUGACGCUGAGGCACGAAAGCGUGGGUAUCGAACAGGAUUAGAUACCCUGGUAGUCCACGCAGUAAACGAUGAAUGCUAGCUGUCCGGGGCUUCGGCUCUGG